UAAAUGACUCUCGGCAACGGAUAUCUCGGCUCUUGCAUCGAUGAAGAACGUAGCGAAAUGCGAUACUUGGUGUGAAUUGCAGAAUCCCGCGAACCAUCAAUUCUUUGAACGCAAGUUGCGCCCGAAGCCUUUCGGCCGAGGGCACGCCUGCCUGGGCGUCGUGA
rnacentral:rRNA from 2 species